rnacentral:rRNA from 1 species
UACAGAGGGGGCAAGCGUUGUUCGGAAUUACUGGGCGUAAAGGGCGCGUAGGCGGCCUUCUAAGUCGAACGUGAAAUCCCCGGGCUCAACCCGGGAACUGCGUCCGAUACUGGAAGGCUUGAAUCCGGGAGAGGGAUGCGGAAUUCCAGGUGUAGCGGUGAAAUGCGUAGAUAUCAGGAAGAACACCAAUGGCGAAAGCAGCUCUCUGGGACGGUACUGACGCUGAGACGCGAAAGCGUGGGGAGCGAACAGG